CUGGUGUCACCUGCUUUCACCCCGUGUCACCUGCUGACACCUGUCACCUGUUACCUGUCACCUUGUGUCACCUCUCCUCUGUCCCCAGAUGUCCCCAGGUGUAUCCCAGGUGUGUCCAGGUGUGUCCAGGUGUACUCAGGUGUGUUCAGGUGUGUCCAGGUGUACCCAGGUGUUACUCAGGUGUGUCCAGGUGUACCCCAGGUGUGUCCAGG